UAGGGUAAGAUAAAAACUCCCCUGCAUGCAGCCCAUCUCCCAGGAUGCCUAAGAUCCAAGUCUUUCCUUAUAUUAUCAGAAUUAUUCUACCUUCAAAAACAAUGUCAAAGACAGCGUUCAGUCCUUAACCCUGAAGCACAAUGGGAACUCCUCUUCUUGUUUUAGUUGUUUUCCCUUAUUCUUUUUUGCUGUGUCUCUGUGAACGACUAUCUUUUCCCAUGUCAUGUUGGAUUCUGCAGGAAAACUGGAUUGUCACAGAUUCUUCUAAAGAUACAGGAAAGUCGGAUGUUAUCUGAGAGGUGUUUUAAACAAGGCAAGAUUUUAAACAACACUAAAGCCAAGAGCAGGAAGGGCUGCUGUGUUAAGUUAGAAACCUUCUCUCAAGCUCUCAUUCAAAGAGUCCCUUUUCUAAGACUCAGGACAUAUUAUGAAGGAUGAUGUCACCUUGAAGGCUUUGCAUGGACCUGGUUCAAGAGAGACUGAUAAGAAGGGAGGAUUCCACUUAACCUAGACUAACAAAGGGAAAGGGGACCGACAGAAGACAAAACCAAUUACCCAGCUACAUGCUUUGGGGUUUCUUCCUUCUUAACUUCAUGGGCACUGCAGGUUAAUUUCCUCUUUUUUAUGAGACUGACAUGCUACAGACUGCACGAACAAGGCACCUAUUUUUUUCUUUUUUAGGUAACUUACCCAACAGUGAAUACACAUAUAAAACGGAACAACCAGUAGGUACCAAAGGGUGAAAGCUGAGGAGGAUGUGCCCUCCCCCCCACCUCUAGCAUCCUGCUUCCCUCCCCAGGGAUAGCCACCUGGACCAGUUUACUUCAUCCCUCAGCCACCUUUGAAGCUCGUCACAAGCCCCCUGAAACACCCCCUGGAUGGCCAAAGAGAAGGUACAAACUGGCUGAUGCACAGAGGGGAAGGUGGUCUCCCUUUCAAACAUAAUUCCUCCAGGUACUUGAGAGAAGUGGGGAAAAAAGAGAUGGACACAGACAAUGAAAGACAGCCGGGAAGACCCUGACGUCACUUCCUCGACGUGCUGAGGACGCAUUUGAUCCUGUGGAGGCUUGUUUAUCCCGUACAUGCCAAAAAAAAAAAAAAAAAAAAAAGAACUGCCACUUGGCUUCUUCUGGAUACCAGGAAGUUUUUGUUUUUUCUUUCCGAAAUCAGGGCAACCUGUCAAAGGUUCCUCUGUGUGAGACAGGUCAUUCAUAUGAAACACGGAGGCUGCCCUGUGUGUAGCUCAGAAGGGAGGGGAUUUUCAGUAGUGUUUCCAGAGGGUCUUCUUUUUUUCUUUUUAGGGCUGUACCUAUGGCAUAUGGCAAUUCCCAGGCUAGGGGGUCAAGUCGGAGCUGCAACUGCCAGCUUACACCACAGCCAGCAGCUAUAGUUCCAAUUAGACCCCUAGCCUGGGAAGCUCCAUGUACCUCGGGUGCAGCCCAAAAAAAAGAAAGUAUCUUUAAGGAAUCUUCAAGGGGAAGUAACCCAGUCUUGUCCUUCCAUUUCAUUCCCAUUGUCCCAUUGGAUCUUGUUUUUUCUCUCUUUUUUCUUUUUAUGGUUGCACCUGCAGCACGCAGGUAGAAGUUCCCAGGCUAGGGGUCAAAUGAGAGCUGCAGCUUGCAGACUAUACUAUGGCCACAGAAAUGUCAGACCCGAACUGCAUCUGCAAGCUAUGCCACAGAGUGAGGAAACACUGGAUCCUUAACCCACUGAGAGACCAGAGAUUGAACCUUCAUUCUCA
rnacentral:lncRNA from 1 species